rnacentral:rRNA from 1 species
UACGUAGGUGGCAAGCGUUGUCCGGAUUUACUGGGCGUAAAGAGCGCGCAGGCGGUCGGAUAAGUCGAAUGUGAAAGCCCCCGGCUCAACUGGGGAGGGUCAUUCGAUACUGUUCGACUCGAAGGCAGGAGAGGGAAGUGGAAUUCCCGGUGUAGUGGUGAAAUGCGUAGAUAUCAGGAGGAACACCGAUGGCGAAGGCAGGUCUCUGGGCUGACACUGACGCUCAUGCACGAAAGCGUGGGGAGCAAACAGG